rnacentral:rRNA from 1 species
GACGAACGCUGGCGGCGUGCUUAACACAUGCAAGUCGAACGGAAAGGCCCUGCUUGCAGGGUGCUCGAGGGGCGCACGGGUGUGUAACACGUGGGUGAUCUGCCCCUUACGUUGGGAUAAGCCUGGGAAACUGGGUCUAAUACUGGAGAGGACCAUGCUGAAGGGGGUGUGGGGGAAAGAUUUUUUCGGCAAGGGAUGAUCUUGCGGCCUAUCAGCUUGUUGGUGGGGUGAUGGUCUACGAAGGCGUCGACGGGUAGCCGGCCUGCGCAGGUGGACGGCGACAGUGGGAAGGGGAUACGGCGAAGACUCCUACGGGAAGCAGCGGUAGGGGAUGUUACACUGUGGGCGCAAGCCCGAGGCAGCGACGCCGCGGGGGGGAUGGCGACCUUCGGGUUUUAGGCUCCAAACGGUCUUGACGAAGCCUCUGCUGGAGUGACGGUAGUGGUAGAAGAAGCACCGGCUAACUACGUG